rnacentral:rRNA from 1 species
AGAGUUUGAUCCUGGCUCAGGAUGAACGCUGGCGGCGUGCCUAAUACAUGCAAGUCGAGCGAACAGACAAGGAGCUUGCUCCUUUGACGUUAGCGGCGGACGGGUGAGUAACACGUGGGUAACCUACCUAUAAGACUGGGAUAACUUCGGGAAACCGGAGCUAAUACCGGAUAAUAUUUCGAACCGCAUGGUUCGAUAGUGAAAGAUGGUUUUGCUAUCACUUAUAGAUGGACCCGCGCCGUAUUAGCUAGUUGGUAAGGUAACGGCUUACCAAGGCGACGAUACGUAGCCGACCUGAGAGGGUGAUCGGCCACACUGGAACUGAGACACGGUCCAGACUCCUACGGGAGGCAGCAGUAGGGAAUCUUCCGCAAUGGGCGAAAGCCUGACGGAGCAACGCCGCGUGAGUGAUGAAGGUCUUCGGAUCGUAAAACUCUGUUAUUAGGGAAGAACAUACGUGUAAGUAACUAUGCACGUCUUGACGGUACCUAAUCAGAAAGCCACGGCUAACUACGUGCCAGCAGCCGCGGUAAUACGUAGGUGGCAAGCGUUAUCCGGAAUUAUUGGGCGUAAAGCGCGCGUAGGCGGUUUUUUAAGUCUGAUGUGAAAGCCCACGGCUCAACCGUGGAGGGUCAUUGGAAACUGUAAAACUUGAGUGCAGAAGAGGAAAGUGGAAUUCCAUGUGUAGCGGUGAAAUGCGCAGAGAUAUGGAGGAACACCAGUGGCGAAGGCGACUUUCUGGUCUGUAACUGACGCUGAUGUGCGAAAGCGUGGGGAUCAAACAGGAUUAGAUACCCUGGUAGUCCACGCCGUAAACGAUGAGUGCUAAGUGUUAGGGGGUUUCCGCCCCUUAGUGCUGCAGCUAACGCAUUAAGCACUCCGCCUGGGGAGUACGACCGCAAGGUUGAAACUCAAAGGAAUUGACGGGGACCCGCACAAGCGGUGGAGCAUGUGGUUUAAUUCGAAGCAACGCGAAGAACCUUACCAAAUCUUGACAUCCUUUGACAACUCUAGAGAUAGAGCCUUCCCCUUCGGGGGACAAAGUGACAGGUGGUGCAUGGUUGUCGUCAGCUCGUGUCGUGAGAUGUUGGGUUAAGUCCCGCAACGAGCGCAACCCUUAAGCUUAGUUGCCAUCAUUAAGUUGGGCACUCUAAGUUGACUGCCGGUGACAAACCGGAGGAAGGUGGGGAUGACGUCAAAUCAUCAUGCCCCUUAUGAUUUGGGCUACACACGUGCUACAAUGGACAAUACAAAGGGCAGCGAAACCGCGAGGUCAAGCAAAUCCCAUAAAGUUGUUCUCAGUUCGGAUUGUAGUCUGCAACUCGACUACAUGAAGCUGGAAUCGCUAGUAAUCGUAGAUCAGCAUGCUACGGUGAAUACGUUCCCGGGUCUUGUACACACCGCCCGUCACACCACGAGAGUUUGUAACACCCGAAGCCGGUGGAGUAACCAUUUGGAGCUAGCCGUCGAAGGUGGGACAAAUGAUUGGGGUGAAGUCGUAACAAGGUAGCCGUAUCGGAAGGUGCGGCUGGAUCACCU